rnacentral:misc_RNA from 1 species
UCUCCGUAGGUGAACCUGCGGAGGGAUCAUUAAGAUGCGCCCAGCCUCUGCACGCGGCGGCCCACCGGCUGCCGCGUGCACGCCCUGCAUCCUCGAUAUUACAGCACCUUGCGUUCUCCUUCGGCGGGUCAGCCCGCCGUCGGAUUCAAGAUACACCCAAUUUGCAAACAGCAUGCGAAUGCUGUCAGUAAUGUUUAUACCCGUUCAGAAACAAACAAUCGUUACAACUUUCAACAAUGGAUCUCUUGGCUCUGGCAUCGAUGAAGAACGCAGC